rnacentral:rRNA from 1 species
GGAGGAAAAGAAACCAACAGGGAUUGCCUCAGUAACGGCGAGUGAAGCGGCAAAAGCUCRAAUUUGAAAUCUAGCACCUUCGGUGUUCGAGUUGUAAUUUGAAGAUGGUAACCUUGGGUUUGGCUCUUGUCUAUGUUCCUUGGAACAGGACGUCAUAGAGGGUGAGAAUCCCGUCUGAUGAGAUGCCCAUUCCUAUGUAAGGUGCUAUCGAAGAGUCGAGUUGUUUGGGAAUGCAGCUCUAAGUGGGUGGUAAAUUCCAUCUAAAGCUAAAUAUUGGCGAGAGACCGAUAGCGAACAAGUACAGUGAUGGAAAGAUGAAAAGAACUUUGAAAAGAGAGUGAAAAAGUACGUGAAAUUGUUGAAAGGGAAGGGCAUUAGAUCAGACUUGGUGUUUUACGAUUAUCUUCUCUUCUUGAGUUGUGCACUCGUAUUUCACUGGGCCAGCAUCGAUUCGGAUGGUAAGAUAAUGACAGUUGAACGUGGCUCCAUUCGUGGAGUGUUAUAGCUUCUGUUGAUAUUGCCUGUCUGGAUCGAGGGCUGC